UGCCGCCGAUGAUGUUGAUGAUGAUGCAUGAGUGUUUGGUUGGUAGGUGAAGAUGAUGGUGGUAUUGAUGUAAAAAUAUGUAGAAGAAGGAUUUGGACUGAGAAGGAUCUCCAUAAGAUUAUCUUCAACUCUAUCUUUUUCAUGUUCUUGUAUGAUAUUGGAAUUUGGAUACUAUGACAUGUUUGUUAUAACUUUAUUGUAGUGUUUGGU